GGGGUCGACUGGUUUUGACAGCAGGCCGGAUUGAAAUGUAAGCACGCCGGGAACCGCCAUGAAUCCCGUUAUCAAAUGUGGCAACACUUUAAACGGCGAAAAUAACUACGCUCUUGCUGCUUAAUCUGAAUCAUAGUAAGAUUAGCCUCGCUCCUACCAGGUAGGAAAGCAGGAUUCUCCUUGGAAGCCUUGUCCUGUGGCGUCCAAUCCAGGGGAACCGUAAAAUGGGAAUAAGCCCGGCAAGGCUUCGAAGCCGGGACGAAAAUCUUAGAAGCUAAGCGGCGUGUGCCGGCUUUCGGGCAAGCACGUCGUCGAAAAUCCAAUCGGAAGAUAAGCGUGUAGAAAGCCUUUUUAUUCCCUGUUUGGACGGGAGUUCGACUCUCCCCGACUCCACAU
rnacentral:tmRNA from 1 species